UUUUGCAACAAAGAAAAGGUCCACUAAAAUCAAAGGGGGUAUAAAAUGACACAUAUGGACUGAAUAUAGUCAGCUAAUAAUUUAUAGCAUGGGUAUUGAUAUGUAUGUAUGUAUGUAUUAAUGUAUGUGGUUGAUCAACCUUGGAGGAUGAUAUAGUCAGUUAAUAAUUUAUAGGCAGAAUUCUUAAGUGGUUGAUAUCUCAUGAAGGAUGAUUAACCUGGAUUCAACUGUUGCUCUCCUUUGCACCAAAGAAAAGGCCCACUAAAAUCGAAGGGGGUAUAAAAUGACACAUAUGGACUGAAUAUAGUCAGUUCAUAAUUUAUGUAUAUAUUGACAGAUAUCUUCAUUGCUUGAGAUAUACAUAUGUAUGUAUGUAUAUAUAGCCAGUUAAUAUAGUCAGUUAGUAAUUUAUAGCAUGGAUAUUGACAGAUAUCUUAAUCGUUGAGAUAUACAUAUGUAUGUAUGUAUGUAUGUAUAGCUAGUUAAUAUAGUCAGACAACUGAAUGAACAUAGUUAGUUAAGAAUUUAUAGCAUGGAUAUUGACAGAUAUCUUCAUCGCUUGAGACAUACAUAUAUAUGCACCGCUUUCCCCUGAAAGAACAACAUGCGUGAUCAAUUUUACAGGACUCCUAUGUCCAAGUUGGUUGAACAAAUGAACCAAUGAAUGAAUAAAGCAUAUGUGCUAUGCAUGAUGACGUCAAUGAGGACCAUUUACAUCAUAUGCACAAAUUGGAUGAAACUUUUUCAUUUUGGGUCAGCAUCAACAGCCAAUAAGUCAAAUGACUAGAGGUGCUAGUGUGCCAUUCUGUAUUGUCCGCACCACAAUGAUGUUGAAUGAUACAUGUGCAAGUUUUGCACCAACCUAUGUCAAUUUACAUUGGCAUGUACUACAACUUACAAGCAGCAAAAAACUAAAAUAUGCAUAUGUGCAUGUCAAUAAAUUAUAAAAUAUCCACACAACCCAAAAAAUAAUUUGGCUCAAAAUAAAUGAUAUUUAUUUGUAAUAAAAACAUGGGAAACUUGUAAUGUGUUAUUCUUCAUUUAAAUAUCUUAUUUGUACUUUUUUAUCCUACAAAAACAUUUUUUUAAUUCCUACUAAAAGCAACAAUGGUAGAUCAGAUACUGAAAGAACAUGCUUUUCUAGCAUAUCCUAGUGUCCUUUUGGCGUACCCUUAAGCAAUUUUGCAUAUCUUUUGGUCCACACAGAUGAGAGCAUGAUAACGUGCAAACCAUGCACGAUGCCAGCCUACUAAUGACUAAGUUAUCCAAUCACUGAUCAGCUAGGGGCUGUAUAAAAAGACAUACAACUUUUAAAUAAGAACUAGCUGUUCGCACCUACACAAGUGCGUACACCCAGCAUCCAUAGAGUCGAAAAUGAAACUAAUGAAAAAGAAAAACUUAGUAGAAAAAUAUUUUAAUAUUCUUGGCACGCAAGAGUUCCCUAAGCAAACAAAAAUUUGCAGAAGAAAUGUCAAAAUGAAGUGUUUUCAGAAACAUUGCUUGUGAAGAUAAUGCUUGAAAGUAGAUGAAAUGGAUCAGAUGACAUCCAAUCUGAUUUGUUUCUCUGAGUUUAUCUUGAUAGGAUAUUAAUUUUAGCAUUUGACUAAUAUCCAGUUCCCUAUUUGUAUCCACCAAAGAAAAAGGAUACAAAUAUGGAUAUAUAUUACAAAUAUCUGAGUGGUAUCCUUGUAAUAACCCAAGAUCUUAACCAAAAAGGCUAGCAGAAGGUCAUUAAUUAAGGUCCUUGACCUUACUUAAGUACUGAAAACCUCCUCAAUGCAUACCAAAUGUGGCACUAAACAAACACCCUCCUGCAUCCUCAUAAACUCUCCUAUUUAAGACCCAAAGUUGUUGCCAAAAAGAGGGUCCAAUCACAAACACCAAAACUGGCUCGUGGUUAGCCAAUGCUUUUGUGUCCUCCGGCCACCUGGGUUGUGGGUUGAGUCAACUCCAUUACCAUUUGGACAACCCUAGACGUCACCCAAGUGGCCUAGCUAGAAGAUUAUUAAUUAGGGCACUUGGCGCUGCUUAAGUACCCAAGACCUCCCAAAUGCACACCCAAUGUGGAACUAAUAACACACCCAUGCAGGUUCUUACAAUCCUAAUCCCUCUUUAGCCUGUGCAGUCUCUUAAAACUCCUGUAGACUCCCAAGGGUCAUAAGUGACAGUGUCAUAUGCAUUCAACUUUAUUUCCAUGCAAGAUAUUUAACUUAGUGAGUUGCAUUCUCAAACCACUAGCAAUAAGCCUUCAACUUAAAGUUUGCAGCAAAAUGAUUAGCAGUAUGAAGGAGUAGAUCUAGUGGGAGUGAAAUGACUAAUAAGAGACCACUGACCAAGUCAAAGUUAAACAACUAUUUUAAGAAUUCAAGACUCAACCUCUAUACUACAGUGAAGGAGAAUAUACUCCACUACUCUACACUACUUUAGUAGCAAAGAAGCUUUAAGGAAGACAUGAAAGGCAAGGGCCAAACCUUGAUUUACAGGGUCACCAGAAAAAGAAGCAUCUAAUAUCAAGGUUUAAGACAAUGCAAGCAUCAUGAAACUUACAGGAGCGUGCAAAAGAGGUCACAUAGUGGAUGAGCUGAAUGAUAACUAACAAAACUAGCUCAGAACACAUAGACAAUGGGAAAGAUAGAAUAAGCGAUCAUGCAGUAAACAAAAGAACUUAUUAUUUGAAGAACCAUUAGCAAAAUAAAACCUUAGACGAAGCUCCAAAGAAUAGGAAAGAUCAACCAUAAUAAAAGAACAAUCCUAGAAGGACAACAAUUAAGUCAAAGGCAUAGCACAACGUUGAGGUCCAUAUUGUAAUGGGAAGAAACAAAUUCUUUCAAAAUUGAUGUGAGAGCUAAUGAUUUACAUAAGCAAUAAAAGAAUAUUAUCACUAAUUUUUAUUAAAGCAGGUACAAAAAGCAUUAGAAAGAAAACACAUGGUCUGCCUGCACAAGUCAGCAGAUAGCUUGACAAAGGUGUUAGAAGAUGUCUAGUGAGCAAGAAAGGACAAGAAGAUAAUGCAUACUAAGCUCCUUAAAUAGAUCAUGGCACACCAUGAAAUUGAAAAGGAAGCAAUUAUUUUUUCCCUGCUUCACUUGGCUUAAGCACAAGAAUUGAAGACCUUUAUGGCACUUCAACAGCCUUUUAAAGGGGUCUUGAUUUUGUGGACCUAGUUAGAAAUGUGAAAACAACCUUCUUCAUUGGUGAUGGGCCAUGAAUUAUCAGUUCAAGAAUGGGGUCCCCAGUUCUAUUGAUUAAAUUCCUCUUUAGAUCCUAAAUGUGAUUCAUGAAAUCACUUCUUUGCUUCUCAAUUAUCAAAGCAUCAAACUCUCCACAUUCCUUCCAAUUCCUUGGAUAAUAGGCUGAUUCCAACCAAAAUCCAAUCAUUGGCCAAGUAUCACUCCAACCAAGGAAGCCAUUGACAACAAAUCUCCAAGAAGCUAGAUCAUGCUAGGACCCAGAUCUCCUCCAUCCCCAUUUCCUACCUACACAAACCUAAUUUAGUUGACGGAUGGGUCGAGUUUGGAUCAAAACUUAGAUCCAAACGCCAUAUGGGUUCUCAUCUGGAUUACGUGGUCACAUACUCAACCUUAUCUUUUAUUUUGUCAUCUUAAAUUAGGGUUGUAAUCGAGCUGAGCUUGAUUGAGCUUGGAUCUAACCAGGCUUGCUUUGUAAUUGAUUUUGAACCUAAAAGUUGAGAUCAAGCUGAAAUUGCUUACCACUAUUUUGACCUUGGUUCAAGCUUAAUUUUGAACUAAGCAAAAAGAAAACUAAACAAUCAGCUUGAAAAUUCUAAAUCGAGCAAGAAAUCAACUCAAGAUUGAACAAAGCUCGGCCCAAGAUUGAAUUAAAGCUUGAUUCAAGCUUUGUUCAAAUCUAAAUUAAUCUUUAAUGGAUUCAAAAAUUGAAUAAACAUGCAAGUUUGAAACAAUCCUUAAUACAAUGGACUGUUGGGUCUAAGAUAAAAUGGCCACUAUCUAAACUUAUAUAAUUAUAUAAAAACAUAUAUUUUCAAGCCUAAUUGAAUCAAGCUUGAUUUUAGCUGGUCUAUUUUUGGUUUGGCUUGGAAUUAAUUUUCAGCCUCGAUUGAUGGUUCAAGCCUGGUUCCUUAGCUUCGAAGCAAGCUUGAACUAAACUUUUUACAAGUUGAGUCCUAGAUGAGCUCAAGUUGUUUUGAUUGUUUGCCACACCUACCUUAAACCAAAAGAGAAGUUGAAGAGGAUGAUGAUACUACAUUUGGCUAUAGAAACACUACUCCUCCUUAGAAGUUCACCGACGGAGGAUAGGAAUUCAGCAAAUACUGCAGCAGAUUUCGGCAAGCACUUUGUUGAGUGGGAUUUUGGGGCUUUACAGGUUUUGUUCAUAAACUCUCCUCUUUCCUAACUAGUUUGAUGUUGACACCAUUUAACUAGAUUAGUUUAAGCAUUCAAGCGAUUCAAUAGUCCAAUGCAAUGGCUCAAGAUAGAUUUCAACAAAAACUAGGUCCACAUCUACCCCUACCUAUAUUUCUUAAGAGGCACCCUAGAUAGAAACACUAGCAAGGUUCACAAAAGGCAUGAAUGAUGGUAAAAACAAGAUCUAACAAGAGCGUCAAGAGUUAGCCAUCAAUAAGCCAAGAUGGUUAGGCUAUGCUUGCUAUCACCUCGAGCAUUCUGAAAAAUGAGAUGAGCAACAGUGAGACAAAGUACCACACCAUGAGAUGAACGUUAGUAUAGGACAAAUCAAAGGAUGCAACUAACUACAAUAUCUGGACCGAGAUUUGUUGUACCAGUGAGUACCGCCCCAUGUACCAAUACGAACUGAGAUUUGGUACGGAGGGCAUACUGAGUCUUAGUACGUCGAACCAACCCCUAUAUCUAGCAUGCUGACACUAUAUCACCAUGCUACCGGUAUAGGAUCCUGUGCCAAAAUGGUAAACCUUGGUCUGGACAUAGAUCAAAGACCGCCGAGUGGAAAAUCCAAAAGUUUAGAACAUGUUGGAGCGGGAGAAAGAAGGCCUAAAAAGAAGUGCUGGCAUAUAUGUGGAGAAGAUAAGUGCAUAGAUAUCAUGAAGAUAGAAUUCAAGAUAGUAGCAUACAACUUCAAAGAAGGUCAUGCACCUCAAAAAAUGGAGGCACUCAACACAAAGUUCAUUAAACAACAUCGACACUUGCAACUAUAACUCAAUGCAUUCAACAAGAGCAAUGAGAGACUCAAGUACAAGUGUACAACCAAAGUUGAGAAGCUUCAGAAAAGUAUAACUUAGAGCUCAGCUGCAGUGUGUUCAAAUUUCAGAACUAAAUGAGCUUCAAAUGAAUGUUCCAAUUGCAUAGUGCCUCCCUAGAAAUUUUAUAAAUUUCCAUAGUUUAAUGGAAAAUAUAGACAAUCACAUAACAUACUCCAUAUUUCAUGUGACAAGCAACAAAACAUUUAUAACAUGUCAGUAAAUUAUUACCCCAAUAAAGAAAUGCAGCCAUUUGGGUCCUUUCACGUGCUUUUGGAGAAAUGGAAUCCCUGUUACAAACCCACAGAAAUACCCACAUAAAGAUAGCCUCAACGAGAUCUGAAUGAACCAAAAUAAACAAUAAAAUUAUAAUACUUGCCCGUAUUCAAUCCGUGGACAGCACCAAGCCUUGCGCCAGCCACCGAACCAGCCUAUCCAACAAUUAGCACAUGAUUCAAAUAAAACCUCCAGCUCAAAAUAAACAAAUGCCAUCAACCAGUCACUAUAAUAAAACAGUACUGCAAAAGCAGUUCAGAGAAGAGGGGUAAAAUCUCUAAGAGAAGUAUGUGACGAAGUAUUCGCAUACCACAGCAGUCGCAUCAUGCAACGAAGAAGUGAUCGUCCACUCCCGUUUUUCCUGAACAAUUGCAUGGAAAUAAAUCAAUAUCGCGAUAGAAGGAAACGUGAUCGCGAUACCUAUCAAGGUAACAAGUUAGAGGUAAACAAUAUUCGAUUUUGAUUAGAAAAAGGAAAAAGGACUAUAAUUUAAUUAUUAAAAAAAAUCGAAAUUAAAUCGAGAACGAAGAUAAUGGGGGAACCGCGUUAGGGUUUAUGAGGGAGAGACAACGGGGGCAGCGGGGGGAGCCGAGGCCAGGGUUCAUGGUGGGAUCGUGAUAAAGAUUGCCCGUCCGGAGCUUCUCCUCGUACGCUUCCCUCGUCCCCAUCAAUCUCCUACGUCCCAAAGCCUUCAAACAAAUUUUGAAGAAAAUUUAGUGUUUCAAGCUGAGAGGGAAGCAAAAAAGCUGCGGUUCGCAGGACUUCACAGGAAACUCGGGAGGCCUCAGAAAAAGAGAGAGAUAAAGCCGCAAGAGCUUGUUGAGAUUUAUCGUCAAACCCUAAUUUUAAUUUUACUAGAAUUCUUAUUUAGUUAGCUAUUAAUUUUAGUAACUUUAGAAUUUUAUUUUAAUCUUAUUCUAUUUUGUUUUUUUAAAAAAAUAAUUAUUUUUAUUUUUUAAUAAUUAUCAAGUUUUAUUUUUUAGUGGGAGCUGAUUUUUGAAUUUAAGUCAUUUAUAUCUCUUUGGUAUCUUUUUAGUGUGGCAUGAGAAAAAAGAGAAAAAUAAGAGAAUAAGAGUUGUGUUUCUCGGCGAAUCAUCAUAGUUGAAGUUAGUCCUAUCUCUAGCAUCAAGAUCAAAAAAAUUGAACAAGACCAAUUAUAUAUAUUAGAAGGCCUAAUUCAAAUUUUAUUUGAUCGGAUAAGAUUUAUGGGAGAUUGUGAACAGGAUAUAUGCGGUGAAGCCACUAGAAACUUCUGGCAAUACAGAAGUGAAAAAAAAGUGGGAGAUCAAAGUUGGAAACUCUCCACUUGAAGUCUAAUGAGGCUCGGUUUCAAUUUUUAGAGAACUAGAUUGGUGCUCUCAAACAAAGUAAUCUUAUAAUCUCCUAAUAUUUUUUUAAAGAAAAGAGAUUGUUUGAUGAGCUUAGUAUGCUUAAUCCAAAGUCUCGUUAUGAUGAAAAUAAACGGCAUACACUGUUAGUUCGUAGUUUGAAUAAGGAGUAUAGUGCUUAUAUGAUUGGAUGGGCUCAAUAAUUUGUAUUAGCAGAGUUAAAAAAUAUAGUUGUUAAUCAAGAAGUACUUAAUACUCAGAUGUGUGGUUUGACUAUAUCCCCUCAAAAAGUUGUCUUCAUCAAAAAAGACCAUAUCCCCUCAAAAAGAAGAGGUUUUAUUUUCUGGGAGUAAAAAUAAAAAUAAGAAGUGAAAUAACAAAUUUGAAAAUUUAGAAAAAAAAGCCAUUUGGAGAAUUUGAGAUGAAUAAAAAUUGUAAUUAGAAGAAAAAUUAUAAAUUCAAAGAGAAUUAUCAUAUGUGUGGAAAAUUUGGCUGCACAAUUCAAGAUUGCAGAGUAAAGCUUAAACAAUCUAAUAUUACAUCCUUUACUUUAGAGCAUAGGGGAGAGAAAAAACUAGUAGUUGGGAUUCUAGUUGUCUUGUUAACCAGUAUGCUAGAUUGGCUCAUGUAAAUCAUAACAGACUUUAAGAUUUGAAUCAGAGAAAGCUUGAUCAGUUGGAGACUGGUUCAAGUUUGGAAGACUCAAAGCAUGGCAAAAUUGAUCAGCAAAAAAAUCAACCUGAGGAUCAAUCAGGUCUAAAAGAAAAUCUAGAGUAGAAAGAGCUUAAUUAGGUGGAUAUCAUAUCAAGCUUAAAAAAGAUCAUGAUUAUAGAAAUAAUUGAUUCUGAAGUUGCUCGGGAAGAGUUAAAGAAUGCUAUAGUUGAUUCGUUCGUAAAGAUCUGUACUGAAUCAAAUAAUACAUAAGAGUUUUGUGUCCAAGCUAUUCAAGAUAUGGAUAUUUUUUAUAGAGAUUUAGUUAGCCAUGAGGUUGAAAAGUUGACUAAUUUUGAAGUAGUUCUAGAGAUCAAACAGAAAGAAGACAUGCUUAGUAGAGAUGAUUCAUGUUAUGCUUUGGUACUCGACAAGGUUUUUAGUAUACUAAAUGAUUUUGAAGCUACUCAAAAGUUCGAGAUAUUCGAAGACUUUUUGCAUGAAGAUGCUCAAGUGGACGUAUAUGAAUAUAGCCAAAGUUUUGUUGUUGAUUUCACAUAUGUGCAAGUAAUGGCCAAUGCUCGACUAAGCAGUGAUUGUAACCGAUAACUUGAUGUUUAUUAGAAUGAGCUAGAUGCUCAACAUAAUCUCGGUAUCAUGACUGUAAAAUUAAUACUGAAGAGAAGUAUUAGAGGACAUCGUCGAUUUCGAUAUAUGCAUAAAAAAGGACAAGCUAGCAAUAAUAUUGGUUAUUCAAUUAUUGGUUUGACAAGUUAUUAUAUAUUAUUGUUACUGCAAUAAUAUUGGCAAUAAUUGCUGUGGCAUUUCACGACAUUGAUAACUUCAAUAUUAUUGGUAUAGACUUUGCAAUGAGGGGGAGUGUUGAGAUUUAUUGCCAAGUCCAAAUCUUAUUAGGAUUUUUGUUUAGUUGGUCAUUAGUUUUAAUGACUUUAGGAUUCCAUUCAGAGUCUUAUUCUACUUAGUUAUUUCUUCUAGAAUAGUUAUCAUUAAUCUUUAGUAGUUAUCAAGUCUUAUCUUUUAGUGGGUGUUAGCUUUUGAAUUUGAGUAGUAAUCAAAUAUUCCGCCCAUAUGAACUCUAUUUAAAGGGACCUUUGUUGUAUCUUUUAGUGUGGCAUGUGAAAAGAGAGAGAAGGAGAGUGUGAGAGUUGUCCUUUUUGGUGAAGACUGAAAGAGUGCCUUUUUGUGUGACUUAAUUUUUUAAUUAAGUACUUUUCUCCCUCCUAAUUAGUUUUCUUUCGGCAUCUUCUUUUUUUUUUUAUUUGGAAUUUGUUCUAAAAUUUGGGCUAGUAUAGUCGAUCUACUCUGCAUAGCUUGCCAUUCUACAAAGCUCAUUCCUUGAGCCGACUGCUUGGACUCGAGAGGCAGGGGUUGUGGAGGCAAUCGAAGGAAAGGUCAAGGAAGUGGAGGGUGGGGGCGAGCCUAGUGAGGAGGUCAUCGGGGUCCUCGAGGUUGGGGAGGAGGGGGGAGCGAGAAAAAAUGAGGCUGUGGAUAAGGAAGUGGCUAGCGGUGCAUCUUGAUUAUUGGUUUACCUAGGUUUUGCUUACUAAUAAUAUAUCCCUACAUUUUUUUUACAAAAUAUGUUUGUCAUUAUCAUAUCAUCUAGCAUGGAAAUAUAAAACUCAUAUUAUAUUAUUGGACUCCUAGUGAGUCGAGAUGAAACUCGCUGAUCUCCGUGUUAUCCCAUUAUCCCAUAUCCUCAUAUUGGAUAUUGGAGAAAUAAUGUAAUAUCAAACUCUUACUUAAAUAAAAUCAUGAUCCAUUAAAAUCUUCGAUCAUAUCAUGCACUUUUUUAAAAAAAAAUUUCCAUUCGUACGUUUUUUUAAAAAAAUAAUUAAUUAUUACUAAAAUUUAAGUAACAGCUUAAGCUUGAUCAUAUUGUUGUUCUAAUAUGAAUACAAUGCUAUAUGAUAGAUUCCAUUCUAUAGCUAAAACUUUAUCCAUAUCCAAGUCAACUAAUAUGCUCCAUAUAGUCUGAGACGUCACUAUUGAUACGUGGGUCGGGCCACAACUUUGCUGAUAUCCAGAAUGCAGCAAGGUAUCAUGCCUUUUAGGUUAAGGAACCACUUAUAACUUGGGCAACUUGGUUUUUAUCUCAACUCUUAACAGUGAUUUCAGAUGUAAAUUGCUAAUAUUGACCAUUCAAUAUGAUGGUAUGCCUGGGUGUGAUCACGAGAUCAUUAUAUCAAUUAGAGGAGCCGUGUAGUCACUAUACACCUUAGUAAUCUUGCUCAUAACGGUAAAUUAUUUGAAACACUUAGGAAUAUUCAAUGCUCUUGCUAAUAAACACUCAGACAAUUACUCUAGAAUAUUAGUGGACUCUUUUCUAGCUCCAAGAUUAAUGUGUGAUAUAUACCGUAUAUGGUUUAAGUUAUUAUAAAGAGAAAAAAAAUUAUGCAUUAAAGAAAUGGCUUUUAGCUAAUAGCAAAUUUUUAUUUUCAAUACUAUUGUCCUACGUGUCUUCAUGAUCGGUUUCAGUACAACAAUUUAGCUGACACGUGGUGUAAGAGAGAGGACUAAUUCAUGAUGGUGUGUAGGCAUAAAGAAAUCUAUAUUAAUUACUUGCAAAAGCAUAAGCUAACAAUUAUAAUUUUUGGGACUAAUUUAAUAACCAAAUUUUUGUUAGGCCUGAAACCCUUCUCUUAUUUCAUGCUUGAAUUCUAUAUUACACAUCGGAUGUUAAAGUUUCAGUAUUUUCUUUUAUGUUGAUAAAUUGGGGUGUAAAAUUUGUUUUUGGAUUAUCAGAGGCAUGAUGUUUUCCAUGUGUUUUAUUGAUUGAAAAAUGGAAUCCUAUUGUUGUGAUGCACCAAUCCUUUAAUUCGUGUAUUUCAUUUGAUGUUUGUAAAGUUUUGAGAGUUUUUUGGUUCAUUAGAACCUAAUUUUCACAAUUUUCUUAAUUUGUGGUUGAAAAUAAAAAAUUAAUAGAGUUUUGAUUUGGAUAUAAAAAAAAUAAAAAUUAAAAAAUUGUGUGCUCGGUACAAGCCAUCUCGUUGCAAAGGCACUCAAAGAAGAAGGUGGAAAGCCACUUAGAGAAUUAUUUCCAUCCCAAGGCAGCCGCAUCAUGCAAUAUAGAAGUGAUCAGCCACUACCUGUCCCCCUACACGAUUCAAAGCAAAUCAAACAAUAUCUAAAAAGAAGGAAAGAUAAUCACAACAACAACCAAGGUAUCAAACUUUAGGUAAAAGGAAAAUGCCGAUAUUGAUAAGGCAUAAACGUAUUCAGCAUAAAGAGAACUUAAACAUAAUUGUAGAAGAUUAAGGUUAGAUUAAGAACAGAAUGGGUGGGUAAAGGGAAGAAGGGAGGAACUUAGGGUUUAUAAGAACGAAAAUGGGGGCAUCAUAGGGUGCCAAGGCUAUGGUUCAUGGUGGAGUCAUAAUAAAGAUAGCUUGUCGAAAGCUAAUUCUCAUAGACUUCCCUUGUCCGCAUCACUCUCCUAAGUCUGGAAAGCCUUCAAUAUGUAGAAGAAAAUCGAGUGGCUUUGGCUGAGGAAAAAGAAGGCUUUUCUUGCAAAAACAAUAAUCUAUAGCAGAAACAAGCAACAAAAGAGAUCUAAAUUCAGAGUGUUGCCUCUGUAUUCAAACUAAGAUAGUAGCAUAAUGCGGACAACCCUAAGAUCUACUGAAGAUGGGCUGAGCAGGCUGGUUGAGACGUUGGAGGCUAGACUCCUCCACUGGGUGGCCUGCAAGAAGUCCAUUUGCUGGAGAAUUUUCGACGGAGACCCUCCGAUGUCUAAGUCAGAACAAUAAGACAAUAAUAUAGAAGGGAGAGAUUUCAGCAAAGUGAAGGCUAUGUGAGAAGAGUAGUAUAUUACGUACCUGAGGUCUCGUGGGUUGCUCCCUUUAUACAGAAAAGCCAAUUUGUCAUUAUUCGGGCCGACAUGGUGUGCAAUGAUAGCCAGAUAGUGGCUUUGGUAUAGCUGCGACAUGGGUGUUAAUCCAUGUAGGCGGCAGAGUGUGCUAGAGGGGUGCAGGAUAUGAUGCCACCGCAACUAUGGACUACUAGCAUUGUCGAUUGUUGGGGUUGUCGACCCUUGUCGAUGCAUACUGUUGUUUUUUGCGGCUGGCGACUUGUUGGUUGGAGUCGAAGUCGUUCACUCAGUUUAUGUCCGAGAAUAAGAAGGUCAGUCAGGCAUGAGGUCGGGGUGUCCAGUAUUUCUCCCAUCACUUGCCUCCCAUUUUCGAGGCCGAAUAAUACUCUAGCUCGGGCAAUGGAAGUUGAGUAAUUACUUCGAUCGAGAGCGAGACCUUCAUGUGGCACUUUACUUUAGUUACCAACUCUUAUGCUCUUUUUCAGCAUGCCCAUGUGGUUAGCGAGAUAGAGCGGCUAGCCGAGAGGUUUUGCGUAUUUCGACCCUUGAGGAGAAAUAGAAAGAGGCCUUUAAGCGGGCCGAGCUGUGUGUGUCGAAGAUCAUGGCGACCGAGGCGAAGGCCAAGUCAACCAAAGAUGAGUCUAGGUUGGUAGAAGCCCGCUCUUCGGCCGCGUGGACCCAGACGAAGGAGGCCCAGCUUUCUGCAACCAGGAAGGCCCUCAAAGCUGCCGAUCAGAGAGCGGCGGAUCUUUCUAUGGAGCUAGCCCAAGUCGAGUAGAGGGUCUAGGAGGCAAAACAGCAGACCAAUGAGGCAAACUGUUGAGCUGCCGAGGCCGGCGAGCAAGCCCUUCGUGCCGAGGCGAAGGUCGCAGAAGCGGUUGAAGAGUAUCACGCCUCAGAGAAGUUUCGAGAGGAGACCCUGGAGACUGUGGCUGACACCUUUGAGAAGGACUUUGAGGCAUGCUGAGCUCAAGCCCAACGGCUUUUCUCGAAAAUGGACUUCUCGGUCCUUGAUGACGUCAGGAAGGUGGCGACCCUGUCGAUGGCAAAGGCAACGAUAAUGACCACAAUGAAAGCUCCGAUGGGGGCGAGGACCAGGGACUUCCAAGUACCUGACUUUGAUCUUGAUUUACAUCGUGUUAUUAUUUGCUCUUUGUUUAAGCUGAGGUUGUCGUCCUAAGAUUUAACCUUUUGGUGUAGCUAUUUUUGCUCAGUUUCUACCGAGGUUACUAUAUGCACUAGAAGAUAAUAAAAGCAGAGGAAUUUUUUGAAGUACCUUCUUCAAUUUUUGCUUGUCAUCGAGCUUUUGGCGCAGCGGCCAAUUUUUCUGCUCAGACCAUUGCUGACCUGAAAAGGUCGGUAGACUUGUCGAGCCUUUAGCGUGGCAGCCAAUUCUUCUGCUCAUGUCAUUUUGGACCUGAAGAGGUUGCUUGACUCAUCAAGACUUCGACACAACAGCUGGUUUUCCUACUCAAGUUGUUACGGACUUGAAGAGGUCACUUGACUCUUCGAGCCUUCGACACAAUAAUCGGUUCUCCUGCUUAGAUCAUUAUGGACUUGAAAAGGUCGCUUGACUCGCCAAGCCUUUAGCAUGGCGGCCAAUCUUCUUAUCUUGGGAGUAUACUCCUCGAGACAUCUCUAAGGUUGGCUACCAGAGAAAAUUCAAGUGAGCUCGAUCUUUAAGAGGUCAGUGCCUCCAUUCGUCUCUAGAGUAUGCUCCCAGAGGCAUCUCUGGGCUUGGCUACCAGAAAAAAUCUGAGUGGGAUCGAUCUUCAAAAAGUCGGCACCUCCAUUCGUCUCUAGAGCAUGCUUUCGAAGGCAUCUUUAGGUUUGGCUACUAGAUAAAAUCUGAGUAGGCUUGGUCUUCGAGAGGUUGGCACCUCCGUUAUCUCCAAAGUAUGCUUCUAAAGGCAUCUCUAGAUUUGGCUACUAGAAAAAAUUCCAGUAGGCUUAAUCUUCUCAUCUCAGGAGUAUGCUCCCCAAGGUAUCUCUGAGGCUCAAUUUUCUCAUCUUGGGAGUAUUCUUUUUGAGGCAUCUUAGAGUUUUGAGUGGGCUCAGUCUUCUUAUCUUGAGAGUGUGCUCCUUAAAGCAUCUCUGGAGUUGGAUACCAGAGAAAAUCCGAGUAGACUCGGUCUUCUCAUCUUGGGAGUAGGCUCUCCAAGGCAUCUCUAGGGUUGACUACCUAAAAAAAAUCCAAGUGGGCUCGGUCUUCGGAAGGUUGGUGCCUCCUUUUCUCUCCGGAUUGAGAUCUCGGAGGGAUCCCGAGGAGCUCAGUUUAGGGAGUCUCCAAGCGUCCCUAGGUGGUGUCUCUUUUAUUGGGGCUCGAGCAUUUUUGGGGUGUCCCAAGUCGAGUAUAAUUGGCAUAGUUGUCCGAUCUAAAAGAUAAACACAAUGAGAGAAUUUUUAUUAAAAAUAAGUUCGAACUUCAAUGGGCCUUAUUAAUAACACGUGCAGAGGUUGUCGUAGUCUUAAGCCUGCAAGAUUGAGGUGCUCUCGAGGUCUCCCAACCUAUACACUGAAUAUCUUCCGUUGCUGGAUUUUGAGAUUCUUCAAAGACUUCAGUCUAGUGAUCAACGUCUUGCACUUAGCUUCGCUAUUUGGGGCGGAGUAUUCGAACCAGGGGGCAUACUUCGCUAAGGUCAGUGAGUAUGGGACCGGCUUUGCUGCCCCUCGGGCUCGAUGACCUAUCUACGUGCAUGAUUUAUGACAGCUCUAUGGUCAUCCUUUUUGAGGAGUUCGGCUAUCCAAGGCACUUAGGGGCCUCAGCAAGCCUGCCUAAGAUGGUAUUGAUGAUACCUAUUAUCGGGCAAUCGUGUAUCGGCUUCAGGGGUGGCAAACUAGAGGAGGAAGCAGAUGCUUCUCGGUAAUAUUGAGCAUGAGCACUUCUCCAGGGAUCGUUGCUCGCCCUCAGAGCCUGAACUUUGAGGGCCUGAAUCUGGUAGCCUAUUUCCUCGAUCCUUCUAUUGAGGUCAACAACCCACUGAGGCUGGGGCUCCAUGGGACGAACAGGCGAGAGGCUCUGGAUGGAGUCCAUGUCGGAAUGGGGGCUUGGAGUGUGUCGUCUCCCAUUUUGAGCAGAGUUGUUCUGCCGAGUGUGCCGAUGUUGACACGAUCACUCAAGAUUCCAAUCUAGAGAGUGGUGGCUGUCCUGAUGUACAUGGUGUGCCGAUGACUAAGAAUGGGGCUGUGCUGGUCGGGUUCUGGUUGGGCUGGCAACGCCAUUGUCUGCUGCAAGCCUUGAACCAUCGUGGUCAAUGCCUACACCUAUUAAGUGAGCAGGUUGAACAACUCAUUAUCUAUAGGCGCGGCAGGCUACUUUGGUGGAGCAAGUUCGAGGCUUUGCAACGACCCUUGGGAGGUCGGAGCACGGCAUUGCAAAGCACGCGACGUGCUACGGGUUCCUCGCGACUUCAUGUUUAUUGUCUUCCCUUCGAUUGAGGUUGAUGUUGCUAGUUGCUAGGAGCUAGACCCUUCCUCUAGCGCCAAUCUAUUAUUGCUAUAUCCAAAUCGAGGUGGACACAACUCGAACGACCUUGAGGUUGGCUGGAGAUGGACUAAGCAGAAUGGUUGAGGCAUUGGGCGCUAAACUCCUCCGUUGGGUGACCUGCAAGAAAGUCUACUUGUCGAAGAAUUUUCGGCAAAGAACCCUCCGAUGCCUAAGUCGGAACAACGAGACAACAAUAUGGAAGAAAGAGAUUUUAGCAGAGUGAUGGCUCUAUGAAAAGGGUGGUGUAUUGCAUGUAUAUUGCGUACUCGAGAUCCCCCAGGUUGCUCCUCUUAUAUGGAAAGCUAAUAAUAGCCAGGCAGUAGCCGGUGGCACGGCCCCAACUUGAGUGCCAGUCUACGUGGGCAGCAGAGUACUCUAAUGGAGGAUAGGAUAUGAUGCCGUUGCGACUGCGGAUUGCCAGGGUUGUUGGUUGUUAGGAUUGUCAGCCCUUGUCGAUGCUUGCCGAUUAUUCUCCAUGGUUGGUGACUCCUCGGUCGGAGCCAAAGUCGUUCGCCUCGGUUUACGUCCGAGGAUAGAUAGGUCCGUCAGGCCCAAGGUCGGGAUGUCCAGUAUUUCUCCCAUCAUAGAGCAAUCCAGCUUCCUUUAAAAAAAUACUAACAAGCCUAGCUUUAAUGGGUGAGAGCAUAUCUUUCGCACAAAAGAAAAAUUCACUUUCCUUUGUGCGAAUCCAUCAUUGGAUUGCAUAAUAGUCGCUUUGAGAUCUAUGCUAAUGGAUGAAUGGAGAUAUUUAGAGUGCCUGGAGAUCUGUGCAGGUUGUGAUCCAGCGAUUCACAUCACGAAAAAAAGAUCAAUUAUUCUAUCAUGCAAAAGUACAACCCAAAGCCUAGCCUUAGUAUUGUAAGUCAUGAAGGUCAAUUCUUAUUUUAAUAAAAAUAAGAUCCUAUAGAAGAUAGAUUUAGUAGAGCUGUUAUUUCUUUCCAACUAAGGAAUCCAAGAUCCCCAAAUUAAAGUUCGAAUAUUCAAAUUUGGUUUUAGCAAAGUUGGAUCUAAAUAUCUCGUCCCGUCAUAUUUAUACGGUUUGUUUCUGGCUCAUUGCAGGCCUAGACUCAAGUAAACUGCUAACCCAAAGAAAUAUGGUUAUGCCAUCAAGAUGGUAGCACGAUCAGAACGGGGCUAAGAUUCCACGGGAGUGACCCAGAUUCGAAACGCGUGGACGUCGAUUAAAUGUGGGGAUCGGAUGCCCCAUGUCUGCUUUGUCUGUCGCCAUGUAAUUCGUCGGUACCAAGGUGGUGCUGGGGUGACGUACUCAUAUGUGGGGCAAUCCACGGGUCGGAGAGGGCACGCAAAAAUUUGCAACCUGCAUCGAAUAUUUUCUAGUGGAAGAGGAGCCCAAUGGGGGCAGCAACGUGGGUGGGUUCAUCCCUCCCCCUAACCAAAAAAAAAAAAAAAGAAAGAAAGAAAGAAAAAGAAAUAUGGCUAUGCUAAUAAAAAUGAGUAAGCUGAAAAGUUUUUCAGCAUAGAAGACCAUGCCAGUUUUUCUCAUUGGGUUGUGAUGUAUACGUGUUUGGUGCUUGUAGUGGACUUAGUGGCUAAGAGGUUGCUUUCACAAUUUUUGGUGAUUUGACGACUCGAGGAUUGCAAAAGCCUUAAUAAUUUACAUGGAAAGCCUGUAAAUAUGGGACUGCAAACUUUAUGUCUCUUCUAACACCACUACAAACAACAAUGCACUGUCUUUUUCUUUUUUUUUAUUUUUAGACCCCUCUGUCCCACUUACUGCAUCUAAAUUCGGUAUGAAGGUCAGGGAUGGCAAUGAACCGGAUGCGGAUCAAAUAGUCUAUUGCUCAUAUACAUCUUAGAUAGAAGAGCAAAUAGAGUUUCAGAGCGAAAUAAAAUAAAUAAAGUUAGAUGGAAUAAAUUGGAUCGAAUUGUGUAAAACUAUAUGUAUAUUGCAUAUAAAUUAUUUUUUAUUUUAAAGAAAAAAAAUUGUGAAGAAUUUUAUAGAUAUCUGGAUUGGAUUUGGAAUAGUUUUUAUCAUUAUCCAAUAUCAAAAAUAUUCUAUCGUUCAUAUUGACUGAAGGCGAGACUGUACACAGGUCGGACUGAAUGGGCUAACAACUAUGCACCUCCUAGCAUUCGGUUGGAUCAUGGUGAUAGAAGGAGCAGGUAAAAGGAAAGUGUUUGCCAUAGGCAACUACUUUAAACAGCGAUUGCUGUAUCCAUAUCAUAAGUGGUUGAUGUCCAUUUAGGAUCUGCUGAGGAUCGACUAAAAUCUGUUCUAUUAGGAUCGGGUCGAGUCUGGUAUUUGAUGGGUAGAAUAAAUUGUCACCUCUGAUUGAGGUGGCUCUCUUAAAAGGUGCAUAGUAUGAUAGAUCCACACGAACCGUUUCUUCUGUUUGGUAUGGAAAUUAGGAAACUCCCAUUAGGGUUUAUGGUGGAAAAAGCUGUUUUUCUAUUGGCGUUCAAGCACUAACCCUAGUCUACUUUAUCUGUGAUAACUUUGAUCUCAUGGCACCGUGUCCACGAAAUCAAAGCUGGUGUACGCAUGUCGUUGUCACAAGACCCUUUUCCUGAUGGAGUUACCGUUACUGUUUUUUGAGGGUAACUAAGGAUUUGGCCAUGCAAAAUUCCACAGAUACAUAACGUUACCAAUUUUAGCUCAUAGAUGAUGACACACAUUUGUGUUGAAGAGCCAUAUAUAUGCUACCAACAAAAUAUACUCGGACCGAAAAGUUGUGCUUAUGCAGCAAUAUUUUGUUUUGGAAGACAUUUAAUAAAACAAAUAAGAAUAAUAUUGAGCCUGCACCUUUUGGUAGUCCAUAAGCCCUAAUCUAAUGUGGAGUCUGAUCAUCAUGAUCACAGCUUCAUAGCUAAAAAAAACACGUAUUAUAGCUUGUGAUGCCAAAAAAAUACAAUCCAUAUAUAUUAGCAGAUGCAAAUCUGUGAUUUGUGAAGACCCGUGCGGGCGUGUGUUUAGUUCCACAUCAGUUAUUCGCUGGGUAGAUCUUGGGUAUUUAUACAGGAUUAAGGAACCCAAAUAGUAACUUCUGGCUAACCAUUUUGGAUGAGGUUCUGGGUUGUUACAAAUGGUAUUCCCAUAAUCUAUGUGGACUAGGGAACACUGCAGCACGGAUCCAUUAGGGCUGACCACGGGCCAAUCGUGGUGUUUGUGAUUAGAUUUGAACCCUUAGCCCGAUAAGGACGUCAGAGCUUGAACGGGGGGAGUAUGUGAGGAUCCGUGCAGGCGUGUGUUUAGUCCCACAUCGGUUAUUCGCUGGAUAGAUCUUGGGUAUUUAUAUAUAAUCAAGGAACCCAAAUAGUAACUUCCGACUAACCAUUUUGGAUGAGAUCCUGGAUUGUUACAAAAUCUAUAUCUAUGCAUGUUAUAAAUCCAUAUAACAAUUUAUGAUACAACACUAUUAACAAAGUUAAGUUUGAAGACAAUAAACACAAUCAGAUUGUUCUACAAAUCAAAAUGGUAAUAUCUUCUUUAUUAUAAUUUUCCAGAGAGUUUUCCCUAGCUAAGCAUGCAUGGCCACUCAAUUUGCCAUUUAUUUUAAAAGCAAAUCGUGAUCCAUGGCUUCUUCUCUCUGCCUCAAGAAAGAAACGUGGUAUAUGCUUUUCUUCCACGCAAGAGCGCUUUCUUUUCUUUUGGGAUGAGUGCAGGGCACUGAUGUAGCAAGAUAAAGAGAAACGUCCUCCAUUAUGUUUAAGUGACCACCAGCUUUGGCAGCCUACCUGGAGUCCACUUACGUGAUUGCGAGCACCCUCAGAUUACAGUAUCGAUUGUUGUUAUGGUGACAUAAAGUAAAACUACAGUAUAACCUAACAGUUUUAUUACCUGACUUAUUUAAGCAGGAGAAGAAUGCCUAAGAGUUUGAGGAACAAGAAGGAAUUGCCCAUGGGAACUUUCAUCGGACAUGCUGUCCCUGCCCUUGCCUUCACGCUCCUAGGCCUGUGGCACACCCUCAACACCAUCAAAACCUACAAGCUCAAAGGCCCAUCCCACUUCGCCUCCACAACCUGGUUUCCCUUGUCCACCCCCAUCGCCAUCCUGAAACACCUGGAGCUCUACCUCCUCUUCUCCUUCUCCAUCUUCGCCAUCAUUCUCCAACUCCUCGACUACCCCCUCUUCACCUUCUCCUUCAAGCCCAAUAACUACGAGCACGCCACCAUCUUCCUCCAUGUAGCAAUAUACUCUUCCAUCGCCCUAGCAGUCGAUGUCUCCUCCUCCUCCUCGGAGGCCCUCCUUGGUCUUGUUGGAGUCCUUGCCACCUCUGUCUUUGGCCAAGAGCUCUUCCUACUUCACUUCCACUCUAUCGACCAUGCCGGGCUUGAAGGCCACUACCACUGGCUCCUCGAACUCAUCGUGGCCAUGUCGCUCCUAGCGACCGCCAUUAGCACCGGUUUUCCAACCAGUUUUCCGGCUGCAGUCGUGAGGUCGGCAUCAGUGUUGUUCCAGGGGUUGUGGUUCAUGGUCAUGGGGUUUGCGCUAUGGGUUCCGGGGCUUGUGCCUGAGGGUUGCCACGCCACGGGACCGGAGGGCGCCGGCGGGCAUGGUGCAGUUGCAUGCGGGACGGAGCAAGCUAGUCGGAGGGCGAUGGCAUUAGCUAACUUGCAGUUCAGCUGGGCUCUCGCCGGAGUCUUGGUUUUAACAGCCUAUUUGUGUCUGAGGCCGGAGUGGAAAUGCAUGGAGUACAGGCAGCUGGAGUCUAGAGGUGUGGACGUGAGUCAGGUGUCAGGGGAGGGUGAAGGCUACAAAGGAGUCCAUGCGUCAGUGUAGAAUGCUUUUUUCCACAUGAAUGCAUGCAACCUCAUAAUAAUCAUUUCAACCUAAACUAUAAGCAUCUAUCUUCAUAUUAGUUUAUGUUAAAAUAAUUCAACAUUAUGGUGUAGUAGAGAGGUGCAUGAACCUUGGCAUCAUGUCAUGUGUGCCACAAACCAUCGUUUUCUUGUAUGCAUGGCUCGCACACAGUUAUCGCCAAACAGAGGAAGAAUACAGUAUAAAGUUCCCCCCAUCCAAAACGAGCACCAGAAAAGAAGCUCAAAAGGAAAACUUUACAACGAUAUACUUGGCUGGUAAAUUGAUAUAAUCCAGAUCUAUUCAAAGAAGAAUCAUGUAUUUUAUGUCUAAAUUAACAUCAUGGACUAAGAUUACAAGAUUUUUUUUAAUCCCUUGCUAACUUCAAGUUUGAGAAUCUUGACAUAAACUAUAAGUAUUAUAAUAUUAUUAACAACUAAAACAAAUACUUGUUUUGUUUUAGGAGGAUUGUGAAAGAAACCAACUUUUUUUAGGUUCUUGAGUGUAGCGCCCUAUAUGUAUGGAUAUUAUAUAUGAAGGCUUGGAAUAUCAAUGCUCCUAUUGUAACCCCUCUCUUUACAACUCAACUAGAUUAAGCCCACAAAGCUAGUUUCAACAACACUUGUCACUUGGAAUAUUAGAGCAUUUCGAUAAUGAAUCUAAACAAACUUGCUUCAACUUCACUUUUUGGCAUCCUGCUUGAGUUGAUAUGUAAGUUGAAUUCUCUUGAAGACGAAAAUAAUUGCCUUCUGAAUUUUACAUUAAGCUAAAAAAAGAUAGGAGGAAAAAGAACUAUCAUUUGGAAAUCCUAAAGUGCAACAAUAACUUUAUGAUUAUAUUGCCUUUCUCGGUUGUUUAUUCAGAAGAAGUUACUAUGAACAUGAUAACAGAGCUUGCGUUAAAAAUAAGCAAUGAAAUUGCUUUUAUAGGACAUGGCACUAAUGUUUUACUGAGAUCAGGGUGAACCAAACCAAACUGGGCAGACCCUCCAAAGAAUAUUUAAAUUAUUACUGAUGAUUUGUUCACCAUCAUAGCUAUACUCUUAGCCAUAGGUAUGUCAAAGGAAUCAAGCUAGGAGUACUAUAGGGCUAGGGCAAAUGAGGAGUAGAAUGGACUUGAUGAAUAAAAUCAAAAAUAAUAAGUUGCAAACUAAUCAAGGAGAGAGUUUUCUCCCUUUUUUUUUUCUUAAAAACAAAUACAAAAUCCAUCAUGAAUUACAAGGAUAUAAGUUUAAACCUAAUCUACUUCUCAGGAGGUGUGAGGCAUGCAGAAUUUUUGUUUUACUUCAAACCAGAUAUUAACCCAACUUUUAACCUUUAGAGUCAUUCAUUAGGAUGGAGAUGGACCUGAUAGAUAAAAUCAAAUAUACUAAAUUUCAAAUCUAUGAAGGAAGGUUCCUUUCCCCUCUUUUCCCUUAAAAAAAGUGAAAAAUGUAAAUCCCUCAUGAAGUAGAAGGGGUGGAGGGAUUCAAAAUUUUCAUGUCGCUUCAAAUCAAAUGUUGUGCUGACUUGUAGCUCUUAGGGUAAUUUGUUGGGAUGACUUAUCUUUUCCAUGGCCUCAACAGGUUUGGAUAGAAAGCCUGAACAAGAAACUAGCAUGUACACAUAGAGGUAAGGCAUUUGGAGUAUUAAGAUGACAUAAAUGUCAUACCUAUUUUUUUUUUCUCUCUUCAAAAUAAUUAUAAGUAAAAGUUCAGAUAGAAUUUUGACAUGCAUGCAAAAUGUAACAAAGAUAUUUUUCUCACCACCUCUCAUGGCGCAUAAGAUGACGAUAGCAAUAGCAAGAUAAUGGUGUCAAGGUAGCUAGUUAGGUGGUCGCAAUUUCGACAUUGGUGCUGAAAUGACCAUGCUGAUAAGGUGUUACCAGAUUAGUUACAAAUGGUGAUGAUUUUGAGACAAUCAUAGUCAAAAUGGAGGAACCAUCCAAGGAUCGAUGAAGCUCACAACGCCGGUUUUAGGGCCCCAAAUUAGUUGCUAAAAUAGAUAAGACCAAUAAUUCUUUUGGUGACCAUACCAGCAACACUAUUUGGGCCAUCAUAUCGUCUAAGAUGUAUUUGCCAAGGGUGGCAAAAUGUAUACAUUACAUCCUAAUGCUUUUCACACACACACACACAUUGAAUCUGUUUCUCAUGAGUUAAAGGAUCUAAAAAUAUAAUUAAAUAUCUUGACAUUUAAUAUAAAAUUUAGGAAAAAGAUCAAGAAUAAAAACUGCAAGCGGAUUAAUCUUUUUUCGCUUAGUACUAGUUGUAAGGUUGCAUCAUGGACUUGUCCUGCAAGCAACCUAAAUGCUUACUUGUAUCUAUACCUGCCCCAAAUGCUAUAAAAGUUAUUCCAACUUCAAAAGAGAAUAAAUAAACUCAAAGUAUUUUUCUGUAUGCUAGUAUUCCGUUGAUUAGGGAGGUGGCUAAUUAGCAUGAUGACCAUGUUCACUAGAAAGAAUUCAGCUUCAUAUGCUCUUAUGAGGGUAAACAUUAUUUAAUACCAAUUCAGGCACUUCACAUCAUGUUUAAGAUAUAUAUUUAAUAACUUAUCGGCUUUAGAUGUACCUUUCCAAUUAUCUCUUCAAAGAAAAAAAAUAAAAGAAAGGAAAAAAGAAACAUAGCAGAUGAUUGACUUCCAUGUUGGAGAAACAUGCCCUUAGAAUUCUCCCGUUUUUGACACAGAUUGGAACAAUAUUCUCCCACCUAAUUAAGGCUUUGAAGAAAACAAGUACACAAUUUUGUUUCCUUAAUUCUUUCAGUGGGGCACUGUUCCCACCUAUCUGCGUCGCCUUUGACAGAAUUUAUUCGUCCUCAUGUGCUCGUGACACCAACCUUAAUUUUGGUGGCCCCAUCCCUGUAUAUGUCAAAUGGCCACGGUCUUUAAGUGUCUCCUUCUCUGCGCACCAUAUGGCCAUGCACGCCAUAUAUCACAAUCGCUCAUUCAUGUAGCAGUGCAUCGAGAUGAGCGCUUGAUGAAUAGACCUACAAAAACAACUAGUUGUGAUUGGUUGCGUGCACAGGCGAUGCCAUGCAUACAUGGUUGGAAAUAAUUUCUCCUCCUAUGAGGCAUGACACACUCAAAAUGAUAGACAUCAGUUGUGUGACCCAGUAGAUCAUCUUGAACUCAACUGAUGAGUCCUUGCAGCUUCAAAAUUCAACAAUAUCUCAAUUCGACAAGCAGGUUCUAUGCAGUAGAGAUCACCUGCUAAGGACUCCAUUGCAAAUUACAGUUAGCUGUCAUUUUGUCAAACAUGUACAUGUAAUCAGAGGUCAAUGAUAUUAGUUGAUGAUAAAGAUGUAUCUUGUUUGAAAUGUGAGAAUCGUGUGGCCAUGGAGAUGAUUUUGGUGCAUAUUGGCCUUGCGAAUGUACUGGUUGGAACACUGGCACAUUGGUCUUUAUUGGAUUUUGGACCAGCAGGUGCAAAUAAUUUUCCAUUUAGGUUAGCUUCUAGUAACAUUGGACGCAAGGGACCAAACUCCAGCUAACUAAAAUCAAAAGGCAUUUGAUCCCAUUUAUAUGCAUUCAAGCCUGACCUAGAUAUGAAGGAAUAUGGUGAAGGUCAAAUAAUCUAGUUAGACCUAUUCAAAUUGAGAAUAUUCAGUUCAUUAAGUGAAUGGUGACUUCAAAUUAAUGAAGGAAACUGAUAUUUUGUUCAGACCAGAUUGCGUACUUUGGUAGAUCAUCUGAACAUGUUGAACCAUAUAGAUUGAGUAAUUCAUAAGAGUUAUGGGCAAUUGUUCUGUGACGGAAACAAACAAACAAACAAACAACUUGGGGAUAGUAUUAAAAUUUGGAGGGUAUGGUAAGUGGCAAGUAAUAGAAAAUACAAAUAUCGGAAAUUUAUGGGAAAGAGAAAAAAUAGAUUUUUUGUGAAAAAAAAAGUUUUAAAAAAUUAUAAAUAAGUUUUUAAAAUUUCUAGAUUUUCUAUUGAAACAAAGAAAUUAAGAAAUUGAUUUUCAAAAGAGAAGAAAAAUACUUUGGUAAACUUAAUUUCUUGCAACCAUAUAAAUAGUACAAUUGAAAUCUUGAUGGAGGAACGAGCGCUCGCUCACUCGAUCUCUCUCCUUUCUCUCCCACCCUCUCUCAAACAUACAAUCAAUGUUUUUAUUAAUGUGAUUUUGGCACAUCAAGUUAGAUCUUAUCCAAUUUGCUAUAGAUGAUGUAAUGAGCCAUCAAAAAUAUUAAAUAUGAUCAUUAUAAUAGAACGAUGAAAAGUUAUCAUUAAGAAAAAUUAGUUUACUGCAAGAUUUGAACUAAUUCAUGGUCUAACAUUACCAAUAUAACCUACCAAGAAGUAAUACCACCAGAAGCCUAUUUGCAAUUCCAUGCCCUGAACUAUGGAUGGGCUUUGCCCACCAUUUUCUCAAAAACAAAAUAAAGCAAAAAAAAAAGAAGAUGUUCAUGUGGUUAAUUCAAACUUGGCUUAAUAUCCUGCUAGUCUAGCUUAAGCUUAACUUAAUUACAAUCACAAGAAAGCUAGAUCUUGAGCUUCACUUAAUUAGCAAGUUGGCAUUCGAUAGAAGAUAAGUUAUUAUAAAUGAGUAAUUCGAUGGCUCCCCCUCUCACUCAAUCUCUAUUACACCACCAACGAUAGGAGGGCUAAAAGCUUCUACAACUUUUAGAAAAAGUUAAGCAAACCUAGUUGAAUCUAGCGUCGGCUGGAACCAUAACAAUAAUUUUAAAUAUUAGUAGAGAUAAGUUUUCUAUGAAAUUUAAAAGAUCAAUUUUUCCUGUUGUAUCAACUGCCACUAGACACGAGUUCAUUUAUGAUAGCUGUGGUACAUAAAUAUAUUUAUGAGCCUUUUGACAUCUUGAACAAGGGCUCUUAAAAUCUAAGAUUUCUUGAUUAACACUUGCCGACAAAUAUUUUAAAUAGUCUAUGAUUGCUUAAUAUGACAAUAGAAAAAUUUUGACUAGCUUGAAAAUAGGAAAAGAGAAAGAAAAGAUAAAGAGCAAGAUAUUCACCCAAAAAAUUGAUAAGCCAAAAAAGGAGUUGGUUUAGGCAUCUUGUCUUUAUGCGAGGUGUGCUACAUAUUAUUUGACAGAUAUUGCUGUAGUGUAUCAAGUCUAGCUCAAAGUAUCAAUUGGAUUUCGAGCAUAAGAUUGAUUGCAAAUACAACUAUACAUAGGUGCAACAUGAUUUGAUCAAGUAUGCUAUCUAUGCCAGAUUUUAUGGUAUAAAUAAUAUGUAUCCUUUGUUUUUGGGGUCAAUUGUUAACAAAUGAAAGGUUGUCUAAUAUAUACUAGAGAAAGGCAGAAAGGCCUCACCAAAAAAGAAGCAGCCUUGCCAAAAAAAAAGUGAGAGGACGGAAACUCAUCCUAUUACCAUCGUAUCUAGACCGAGGCAGAAGCGCAGCUCGGACGAUCCUAAGGUCGACUGGAGACGAACUAGCAGGUUGGUUGAGGCGUUGGGCAAUAGACUCUUCCGCUGGGUGUCCUGCAAGAAGUCCACUUGUCAGAAGAUUUUCGGUAGAAGAUCCUCCCAUGCCUAAGUCAAAACAACAAGAUAACAAUAUGGAAAGAAGUAAUUUCAACAGAGUAAGGGAUAUGAAGAGUAGCAUAUUGUGUACCUCAAGUCCUCCGGAUUGUUCUCUGUAUAUAGGAGAGCCAACCUUGUCAUUACCUAGGCUAAUGUGACAUACAAUAAUGCUAGGCAACAAUUGAUGGUACGACCGCGGCGUGGGAGUCAGUUCGUGUGGGCAGAGCACGGCGUUGGUCUGACGCAGGACGUAGGGCUACCAUGAUUAUGGACAAAUAGGGUUGUCGAUUGUUGGGGCUGUCAACCCUUGUCGACGUGUGCCUGUUGUUCUAUUAGUGACUCCUCGAUCGAAGCCAAAAUCAUUCACCUCGGUUUACGUCUGAGGACACAGAGAUCGAUCAGGCCCGAGGUCAGGGUAUCCGGUAUUUUCUCCAUCACUUACCCCCCACUUCUGAGGUCGAACAAUAUUCUGGUUCGGGCAAUUGAAGUUGAGCAGUUGCCUCGAUCGAGGGCGAGACCUUUGUGAGGGGUGUUAAAUGAGUCGGAUGGCCUUCCCUAAGCAUCAUCGGAUCUGGGCUAUCCCGAGACGUCAUCAUUGCGGGGCAACCCCGGAGUCUGCGAAGGCGUCGAGGUCAACGGCGCUAACGGCAAAGGCGUUGAGGGGGAGAGGCAAAGGAGCUGAUCUUGGAGGAUGCUCUCCUAGUCCUGGAUCUUGGCCUUGACGUCGCGGAUUACGCCCAAGAACCCAGCGCCUGGGCGACAACCUUGUGGGCGAGGAUCUUCGCGAAGAUCUACAUCUUUUCAACCAAAGAAAACUAGGUACCUCAGUAGCGACGGGAGCAAGGAACAAAGCUCUUGACCAUAUCAUUUUUGCUUUUUCUUUUUGCUUGGGUGAACCAAGUUUAAUGUACUCUUUUUUUUUUAUUUGGCCGCUACUGAGGUUAGUAUAAAAAUCCAUAAUUUUAAUGAAGACAAGAAUUUCCUAAGUAUCUGAUCACUUUGGUCUUAGUUUGCGUCAUGUCGUUGUUUGUUUUUUAUUUGAGUAUAGGUUGUCGUGCUUUGUCUCGAACUUUUGCUGUGGUUCUUUUUGCUCAGUUUUUUCAAUUUUGGCUCAUCUCUGUUCAUUUCUUCAUUCGAGUUUGGGUCAUCUCACCGAGCCCCCUCGUCUUGUGAAACUUUGAGCCUAUCUUGGGCUCCUCGGCUGAUCUUCCCAAAGUCUGGCUCUCGAGGGAUUCCGAGUGGGCUAAACCUUCUAUUUAGGUUGUUCCUGCCUGAAGAGGUCGGUUGGCACGCCAAACGUUUCGACGUGGUAGCCGAUCUUCUCAUCUCGGGAAUAUGCUUCCCAAGGUGUCCUUGGGUUGGCUACCUAGAGAAAAUCCGAGUGGGCUCGGUCUCCUUAUCUCAAAACUAUGCUCCCUAAGACAUCCCUAAAGUUGGCUACUCAGAAAAAAAACUGAGUAGGCUCGGUCUUCUCAUCUCGGGAGUAUGGUUCCCGAGGCAUCCCUAGGGUUGGCUACCUAUGAGAAAUAUGAGUGGGCUCAGUCUUCUCAUCUCGGGAGUAUGCUCCUCGAGGCAUCCUAGGAGUUAGCUACCUAGGAGAAAUUCGAGUGGACUCGGUCUUCUCGUCUUGAGACUAUGCUCCCUAAGGCAUCCCUGGGGUUGGAUAUCUAGGAAAAAUCUGAGUCAGCUCGGUCUUUUCAUCUCAGGAGUAUGCUCCCUGAGGCAUUCCUGGGGUUGGCUACCUAAGGAAAAUCCGAGUGGGUUCGAUCUUCUCAUCUCGAAGUAUGCUCCCCGAGACAUCUUUAGAGUUGGCUACCUAGAAAAAUAUGAGUGGGCUCGGUCUUCUCGUCUCGAGAGUAUGCUCCCCGAGGCAUCCUUGGGGUUGGCCACCUAGGAGAAAUCCGAGUGGGCUCGAUCUUGAGGAGAUCAGCAUCUCCUUUCAUCCUCGAACUGAGGUCUUCAAAGGAAUCCCAAGCGAACUCAGUUUAUGGAGGCCCCAGGCAUCUCCGGUGUGUCUCCUUUCUUGGGGCCCAGGCAUCCUCGGGAUGUCCCGAGUAGAAUACAUUUGUCAUGAUUGUCCAACCUAGAGACAGAAACAUAACAAGAAAAUUGUUUAUUAGAGAUAAGCUCGGACUACAAUGCACCUCACUGAUAAUAGACGCACAGGUUGUUGGAGUUCCAUGUCCAUGGAAUUGGAGCAUCAUGAAGCUGCUCCAGUCGAUAUGCUCCUAGUCGUACAACUUCGAUCACUUGGUACGAGCCUUCACAAUUUAGGUUGAGCUUAUUGAGCUCUCCUGGUCGGGAUGCUUCGGCCUUCAAUUUUCAUGUGGAUCUGGGUCUUCGGAGCAGUGAGAGGGGUGUACCUCUCAAAUUGGCGAUGAGGGCUCUUGUGCCGUCUUGAGCUCUUCUUGCGUCGGAGUGAGAUGCUCCUCAGCUCUCUUUGCUCCUCGCACCACCUCUUAUCUCCCUAGGGGGGGUCUCCUGCUAGCAAACUCGCAGCAGAAGGCUAUGGCCUCCUCGGCAUUGGCAUAUUUAUCGGCUCGCACUAACAUCUCAGCGAAGUCGUCUAGGAAGCAUUUUUCCAAGAAGAAAAGGAAGCUCGAUAGUUGCAUGCCACUCUUCCUUAUAUAGGAGAGCCAACCUUGUUGUUACCUGGGCCAACAUGAUUUGCAAUAAUGCUAGGCAGCGGCCAGUGGUCUCAUCGCGACGUGGGGGUCAGUUCGUCUGGGCUGACGUGGAACGUGGGGCUAUUAUGAUCAUAGGUUGACAGGGCUGUCGGUUGUUGGGGUUGUGAUCCUUUGUUGACCUGUGCCAAUUGUUCUCCGCGGCUGGCGACUCAUCGAUCGGAGCUAAAGUCGUUCACCGAGCCGAAGUUGUUCACCUUGGUUUACGUCUGACAGGAAGGUCGAUUAGGCCCGAGGUCGGAGUGUCCAAUAUUUUUUCCAUAAAGCCCAAUUCACAAGCACAUAUAUAACUGCCAAGAUAGGUUUAUUUUCUAAUCUCGAAUUAUAUGAAUGUUUUGUUUAAACACAUGUAAAGCAAAAGAUCUUACAAAUAAAACAACCAAAAUACAUGCAGGGACAGCCAAUAUAACGUGCCUAACACACUAUCUGUGAUUGUGAUAUGUUAUAUCAAUUCUGGAACAAAAUAUAAUUAGAUAUUAGAUAUCUAGACAAGAUUUACCAUACCUCUUAAUAGGGCUUCCAAACUAUUCCUAGUUAAUGACCAAAUAUUUGGGUAAAAGAAUUGAUUACGACUUGUCUACAAAAAUACUAUGGGAUCAUUAAUUUUGAUUUAUUUUAUUUUUCAAGUAUGUAGACACAAGCCUACCUUGUUAUGAGACCUACUUGUAUUUUCCUAUGCAUCUAAUAAGACGUUUUGUUAGUUUUGGCAAUUCUUAAUAGCAAUGCAGUUUGACAAUUAAAGAUCUCUUGAUAAAGAAAAAUACUUAUGUAAUAAGGAAUAUCCAGUUGGCUGGCAUUAUCAAACUCUUAAUAAAGGAAAAUUCUUAUUUUAAAAGAAUGAAAAUUUCCCUUAGAUUCUUCUUUAGUAUCUAGAAAUUUGUCAUGUAUUAAAACUACAAGAAACAUUUCAACACUGGAAGGAUUGGCUGCUCUUUUUUUUUUUUUCUUCGUACAGAUCUAAUCACAUAUUUUUGCUAGUGAUUUGUUAUGUACUUUACAUCAUAUUUUGUUGCCAAUUCUAAUUACAUAUUUUGAAAAAUUGGAUCUAAUUUGGGUAUAGAAUUAGAAAAUUUAUAGUCGAAUUUAGGCUAUGAAACCUAAUUUUGCCUCAAAAAAGUGUCAAUUAAUCAACUCUUCAAAUAUUUCACUCAAUUGUUUACUCUUCAAAUAUAAGCCUUUCAAUGUGAAUCACAAGCUAGAUUAUAUCCUGACCACCUUAAAACCAUCUUUCAAUUCUGGUGUCUGUUUGGUCAACGGUAGCCCGGUAGGACUGCGGGAUGGCAGCGCAUUGGCUAAGCCCUUCUAGUGGUUUACGUGGCCCCCAAGCAUCUCCACACCGGUUCCCCCUGUGGGGACCACCACAUGAAAGCUGGUUCCAGAGAGCUUCCGUGGAAGUCAUCGCAAGCUGCGUGCGUUGAAUUAAAACCCUCCCCAGACGCCAUGGCGCUUUUGCGUGGGAAAGACGAAACUUUACAAGUAGAAUCAAAGUUCUAAGCUUCCAAAUUGCCCCUAAUCCUCUCUAAGGUCAACUGCUUCCCAUCACAAACUAUAGAACAAAACCAACUUAAUUUUUUAACAUAAGACUUCUAGAAUUCAAUCCAUUUUUUCUUUCUAUCUCGUUAAGAGAGAGUUUUAGAUAAAGGUUAGGGGGCACUAAGGCCAUUCCUCUAUUUCUAGAAGGCCCACCCAUGAGCUCAUGUCACAUUAUGCGUCAUCACAUACAGCCUAGCGCUUAGGAACUAUCCAGACUCAUUUGAACCUCCUCUUUAAAUCCCCCCUAAAACCCUCCCACCACCUUUCCCCCAUAGCCCCUAAAUCCCUCCUCUCCUCCCAACUUCUCUCUCAACUUCUCUCAUGUCCCCAUAAAUCUUAAAGUUUAUUUUUUUUUCAUUUCUCUCAACCAAUAGCUUCCUUCUUUGUUUAGUUGAUAGCUAUGGGCACUUUGGUAGGCCAUGUAGCCCCUGGGUUUGGGUUCCUGGUAAUUGGGCUGUGGCAGCUUUUCAACCAUAUCAAACUCCACUGCCUCCACCCCAAAUCCUACGUAGCCCCGCCGUGGUUCCCCACCCCAUUCUUCCGAUACCUGGAGCCCGUCUUGAUAAUAUUGGGCAGCCUGGCCUCCAUUGCCAUGGAGCUCGUGAUCGGCCCGGAGGCCCAUCAGCCGUUCGACGCCGAUGGAACCAUCCCUUCCAACCAUCUCCACAACUUCGAGCACGCCUCCAUCUCCCUCACCUUCCUGAUCUACGCCGCCUUCGCCAUCGCCUUGGACCGCGCGAAGCUGAAGCAACGCGACGGCAUGACGCUGUUGCUCGGCGCCGUCGCGUUCGGCCAGCAGCUGCUCAUGUUCCACCUCCACUCCGCUGACCACAUGGGCGUCGAGGGCCAGUACCAUUGGCUCCUCCAGACGGUGAUUGUGGUAUCCUUGGCCACCGCUCUGAUCGGGAUCGGGCUGCCGAGGAGCUUCAUGGUGAGCUUCGUGAGGUCGAUCAGCAUCGCGUUCCAAGGUGUUUGGUUUGUCGUCAUGGGAUUCAUGCUGUGGACUCCAAGCUUAAUUCCGAAGGGUUGCUUCAUGAAUACGGAGGAGGGGCACCAGGUGGUGAGGUGCCAUAGCGAUGAGGCACUCCACCGGGCCAAGUCGCUGGUUAACAUCGAAUUCAGCUGGUACAUGGCGGCCAUGGCGGUGUUCUCCAUGUUGCUGUACUUGUUCUUGUGCAGGAGAUACCCGGAGGCGCCGGAGUACCUCCCGUUGGUGAAGGAGGAGGGUGUUCAAGACGAUGAUGAGGACCUGGAGUCGCAGAAGAGGCUCGGGGAGUCUGAUAGCUUCGUUGAAAUGGGGAAGGGGAUGAGGGGCAUGGAGCUCGAGAGAUAAGCGCAAGGAAGAGGGCCCGUUGGAUUAGGUUUCGUUUUCUUAACCAUCCGGUCUUCUUCUUUUAUAUAUAUAUUUUUUCUUUUUAUAAGGGUUAAAUGAGGUGGAAAGAUGUAGCUAGUGGAAGUUUAGGGGAUUCUUUUGGAUUGGAGCCUUUUGUGGUUGGAUCGAUAGAAGUGGCGUUUGGGUUUGGUUCUUCUCUUUUUCAAAGAGAAAUGGGAAGGUGGGCCCUUUUUUUUCUUUUUUUUUCCGUUGUAUGUGUGUGUUGCUAGUUGUGAGAUUGAAACAAUGGUCUCAACUUUGUAGUAUAUUUAGCAGUUGCAAUCAUGUAAAUCCGGUCUAAUCAGAGUUCGAGUUGUAUCUUCCGUGCAAAAGAAUGAUCUUUUUUCACAACAUCAACCAUUGAAUCGCAUUACAUAACAGUCAUAGAAGUCGAAUAUCUUUCUACCAUCCACAUGAGCAAAUCUCGAAGCGGCUAUUGCGCGAUUGAAUUGUUGACAUCAUGAAAGAAGCAACUUAGAGAUUUGGGUUUAUAUAGGGCUAGACAUAUUGCAUAAAUCUCACAUGAGCCAUGACUCUUGCUUUGCUACAUAUCACCUCUCCUUGAGCUGGACAACACAUGGAAGAUUCAAAAACUCCAUUGGAAAAUGCUGUGCUUUAACUAUCCAAAAUAUAAUUUGAUAAAGGACUUGAGGAUAUAUAUAUAUAUGAGCAUUUAUUCUCGGUUGAUAUGAGAAGAAUGAUGUCAUGAAUUUUCUUCUCGGACCAGCAAAAUGGGAAUUUUGUAUCGCCACCAUGUAUGUUUCACAAAGGUUUAGCAACUCGAGCAAGGCAAAGGAUCCUAUGCAGUGCUCACAUGUUGAUAUUUAAUCAAGACAGGAACACCAAUAGGAUAGGCUCAAUUGACCAAGAUGCGUUAUUGGGCAAACCAUCAAAAUCAAUAAUAUACUUAAUCCAACAGAUGCAUUAUUUUAAGUCCUUUCCUGAUAAAAAAAAUGAUGAUUUCGGUUCCUAAGCAAUUUCGGAUGGGCCAAUCAACCUAAGUCACUACCUGACUUUGCAUAAUUAAUUUGAGUAGCAAUUUCUGCAAAGAAAUGGAGCAAUAACCUAUUUCAAAAACUACCAUUGAUCUAAAGAUAGUGAAUAAUUCAAUCAAAAUAGUAAGGUCAGAAGCAAAUACACCCCUCAAUGUGACAAACUUAUGAACUCUUUUGCACAAACAGUGGCCAUCAGAUCCAUGUCAAUUUGCCGAACUGUAAUAUAAAAAUACCAUGAAUUGAAACUUAAAUGAUCUAUUAGAUCAAAUUGUGACAUCAGAGCAUCUGAAGAUGGAUCACAGACUGCAGUCUUUGCAGGCUUGCGAGACGACAAUUCGGAUUCGAAAAGGUCACUGUAUUCAGAUGGAAUGAAUGAUCUUGACCAUUCCUGCAAUAUGAGACUAGUUUGGAAGCUAAAGACAAGGGAUAAGCAUCAAAGAUAAAGACUGAUGGGUGAAGAUUUUGGACCAAACAGAGCAUUCAAGUUGUUGUGCCUUCAUGGAAGGGCCUACUAAAGGGAUUAAACCAAAAGAAGGCCUAAUUUAGAGCCAUAGAGAAGGUUGAAGUCGGUCAAGGUGUUCCCACCUGGAGAAGGAGCCCACCAAAAAUGUGAACUUUUCUGUGAAUAUUAAGCAACUAUUACAGUCUAGUCAACAUUUUUUUUUCUAUGUAGAAGUCAAUAGUUUGGUCUAAUACGUUUUAUUUGCUAGCUGUUGACCAAUGGACCUAUUAACUGUCAAUCUCCUGGGAAAAGGUAGCCCACCGGUUUCUCGCACUGCUUCCAGGAAAUUAAGAUGAAGACUAUUUAUUUUUGUUAGCCAGAAUGGAUGGUAUCUGUCUCAAAUCCAAUUAGCAAAAUAAGCUUGGGUUGAGAUACACUAAAUCUACAUCAUGUCUCAAUUCAGUGAAACUCAGGCGAAUUCCAUCAUGAAAUCUCUUGUGAGCACAAGGUGAUCUCGCCAAAAAAAAAUAAUGCGUGACUUCACAUAGUGACUUCAUAUAAUCUCAUGAGAUCAUAAGCUGAUCAAAGUGUGAUAAAAAGAAAUGAAGUCCACAUUGCCUAACUCUCUCCUCUGAAAGGCAAUCAACUCUCUACUUGGUGAUAUCUGGCAGAUGGUGAGAGACUGCAGUACCUUUCAGGUAAUGCACGUAUAUAAAGAGGCGAACAGAGCUGCCGACUAGAUCGCCACCUAUACAACACAGCAUUUCAGAGGGGUUCUCUAGAUCGACUAGGAUACCCCUCCUCCACAGUUCUGUCAGAUUGUUGUUGUGGCUAUACUAAACUAAGACGAGCAGCCGUUGUAUAAAAAAAUAAAAAAAACAAAGAAAAAAAAAGAAGGCAAUCAGCCCAUUGGAGAGACCUCCAAGAGACACACCCAAUCUUUUAUGUUUUCCUCUGAAUAGAGGCACCAUAUAAUUGGGUUUCCAAGAAAAUGCAAGCAUUCAAAUGAUGAGAGACAAAGAUUCUUCUACAAAUAGGCGAGAAAUUAGGCUUCCCAGCCCCUUGGCAAUUCCAAAUCAAGAUUUCAUGAUAACUGAGAGAGUGAAGGGUGGUUACCUCAGAUUCUUCCUGUUUUGCCGGGUGCUUCUCCCCGUCGGGUGGUUACCUCAGAUUCUUCCUGUUUUGCCGGGUGCUUCUCCCCGUCCCCUCCAAAUCAAGCAUCGGUCUUCUCUGGAAGAUCUUCCUCGCUUCCCCAUCCUCCACCGUGGCCUGACCCUCACCAUCGUUGGCUUCGGAAGGAUUUGAAUCACCCGCAUCCAUCAUCUCGUCUUUCCUUGUUCCACUUGCCAACUCAAACACAA
rnacentral:lncRNA from 1 species